GCCGGCAUGGUGAAACGGUGUGAGCAUCGGACUAGAAAUCUGGAGACCAGGGUUCAAAUCCCUGCUCAGCCA